rnacentral:rRNA from 1 species
AUACGUAGGGUGCAAGCGUUAAUCGGAAUUACUGGGCGUAAAGCGAGCGCAGGCGGGUCGGAAAGAAGGAUGUGAAAUCCCAGGGCUCAACCUUGGAACUGCAUUCGUAACUACCGGACUAGAGGAUGUCAGAGGGGGGUAGAAUUCCACGGGUAGCAGUGAAAUGCGUAGAUAUGCGGAGGAAUACCGAUGGCGAAGGCAGCCCCCUGGGAUAAUACUGACGCUCAUGCACGAAAGCGUGGGUAGCAAACAGGAUUAGAUCCCCUGGUAGUCCACGCCCUAAACGAUGUCAACUAGCUGUUGGGCCCUUCGGGGCUUAGUAGCGUAGCUAACGCGUGAAGUUGACCGCCUGGGGAGUACGGUCGCAAGAUUAAAACUCAAAGGAAUUGACGGGG